CCGGCAGCGGCCUCCGCUACCACCGGCCUACCGCAUCGACAGGUUUGAUUCACAGGUACCUGUGAUGCCUCUGACAGAUUUGUGGAUCCUCCUACCAGUCAACCACUCGUGCACCGAUCCAGAGGGGACGAACCGCUAAUGGACUCGACUGCACGUGAAUUCACACCAGUGCCACGACUCAGCAUGGACUCCCUUCAUCUUGUGCACCUCAAGCUUCUGGCUGCCGACCUUCUCACACUAACUCCCCGACACACAUCACCACCUUCCUUUGUUCGCUGUGGCCAUACAGUUGCUCGUGCCGAGGUUGUUGGAGUUGUUGUUUCACGUGAUCGCAGGGAGAAGUUUCUCCGCUUCCUGGUUGAUGAUGGCACUGGUUGUGUACCAUGUGUCCUGUGGCUGAACCACCAGUACAUGAAUGCAAACAGUUCAUCCGGGGCACUAGAUUCUGAUCCUACUGGAGAGAUGGCAUUGAAAAUGUCGGAGGUGGUACGCCUCGGCACUCUGUUGAGGGUUCGUGGGAGGAUUGUUAUGUACCAUGGUGCAAUCCAAAUUGCUGCUAGAGACGUGGUUCUGGAGAAGGACCCUAAUGUGGAGGUUCUACAUUGGUUACAGUGUGUUCACAUGGCCAAGGAAUGUUAUGGUUUUCCACUACCUUCUGCUUGAGGUGUUCCUUGAGGAUCUCAUGCCCUGUAAUGAUCCCAAAUUUUCUGGUGUUUCUUUCUGUGGUUACUGUUGAGCCAAGUUCUUCUAACGCUAUCCAGGUUUGCAACUGCCUUAUGAUGUCUAAUGCAGAGCCUCCUAGUGGUAGCACACUUCAUUUGGGUGAAUUAUUGACGGAUCCGUGACUCUGAAUGGUACUGCAGCUGUUCUGUUUGAUGAUGAUUGACUCAUUUCACCUAGGACCUGAUAGAUCUGUGGCAACAGGCGGAGCUGAAGAGUUCACAUUUCCAGCAAUACCGAAAUUUGCUUCAUUUGUCGCGACAAAGUUAUGAUCUAUGUUGCUCUCUGCAUCCAUGGGUAAUAAGAUGGAUGCUCUCUUCAGACAGGGAAGUGUCGAGGUUCUUUCUUCCGCUCACGAUUUCCAUGACCACAACGCCAAAGCUAUAGACAUCGGCCUUCUCCGUGAUUUGUGAUGUCAACCAUUCAGGGGCUAGAUAACCAGAUGACCUGCAACACUGGACCCUGGAGGAUCAUGGGGGGUCGGCGAGCUGAGCAGGUCGGCGGCAGGUCAACAAUGGCAGCAACUAUGAGGGGGACAUAAUGUCUCGUGCACUAGUUUCGUGCAUUUUCAACCCGUCUAUCUCGACUACAAGUCGUCGUGUAAGCCAAGCUUUUUGAAAGUGGAAGAUUUGGAGGAAUAGACCAAAAGAAAGCAUGCACAUCAUCAUUCGCCAGCCCAUUCGUUUGAGGAUGAUGGUAUACUCAGUUUUACAUUCUCCAGUGAGCUUCUGCACGACUGUCAUUUAAAGGUCACCUCACUCGAAGCAUUUUUUCCGCAAAUACGUACAUGAACAUAUUUCAUGUAUGGCGGUGGGCAGCUGCCUGGAAGCAGCUGGGUGCCUCGUUGACUGGCCGUCAACGAGCCUUGUCUCACUGACCACAUAACUCUGUCAGGUUUGCUCGCUGACGAGGGUGGCCGAAACCUUGUGUUCUUUGUGGACAUCUGUAUUAAAUAGCGGAAGGUAAUUCUUGCGA